GACGAACGCUGGCGGCGUGCCUAAUACAUGCAAGUAGAACGCACAGUUUAUACCGUAGCUUGCUACACCAUAGACUGUGAGUUGCGAACGGGUGAGUAACGCGUAGGUAACCUGCCUGGUAGCGGGGGAUAACUAUUGGAAACGAUAGCUAAUACCGCAUAAUAUUAAUUAUUGCAUGAUAAUUAAUUGAAAGGUGCAAUUGCACCACUACCAGAUGGACCUGCGUUGUAUUAGCUAGUAGGUGAGGUAACGGCUCACCUAGGCGACGAUACAUAGCCGACCUGAGAGGGUGAUUGGCCACACUGGGACUGAGACACGGCCCAGACUCCUACGGGAGGCAGCAGUAGGGAAUCUUCGGCAAUGGACGAAAGUCUGACCGAGCAACGCCGCGUGAGUGAAGAAGGUUUUCGGAUCGUAAAGCUCUGUUGUAAGAGAAGAACGGGUGUGAGAGUGGAAAGUUCACACUGUGACGGUAUCUUACCAGAAAGGGACGGCUAACUACGUG
rnacentral:rRNA from 1 species